GCGUGGCUUCCUCUUAAGAGAAAGGAAGGCAUUUUUGAGGAGCUUUGGUGAAGGCUGCCUUAAUUCCCCUUAAUCACAACUGGGUUCAUAACCAGCCUGGACUCAACCCCUGCUGGAGAGACUGAUGCAAGGUCAGGCUCACCCCUGGAGUGUCGGAGGGGAGAGGACGCAGAAAAUCAUUACCUCUUCUGGGAAGGAGAAAAGAAAAGGAAUGGAUCGACUACAUCUUAUCUAGACGGCCAGCUCAAGAGCCUGUGUGAAUGGAAGAGUAAAGAGCUGGCUCCAGUUUCUAAUGCACUGACUGUGUGAUCCUAAACAAAUUCUCACAAGAGGAAAUACUAGACCCUGGAACUGGUCUGUCCUAUUUAAAACUGUAUUUCCAGGCCCCAGGAAAGUUCCUGUACAUACAGUAUGUCACAAAUACUGGUUACAAGAAUGAAUUAAUAAUACCUAUAUCA